rnacentral:rRNA from 1 species
GAUUAACGCUAGCGGCAGGCAUAAUACAUGCAAGUUGAACGAGAUAAGUUUUAGCAAUAGAACUUUGAAAGUGGCGCACGGGUGCGUAACACGUAUGCAACCUACCUUUUACCGGGGAAUAGCCUCUCGAAAGAGAGAUUAAUACCCCAUAAUAUAUUGAUAAGGCAUCUUAUUAAUAUUAAAGUUACGGCGGUAAAAGAUGGGCAUGCGGCUGAUUAGGUAGUUGGUGAGGUAAUGGCUCACCAAGCCGACGAUCAGUAGGGGGUCUGAGAGGAUGUCCCCCCACACUGGUACUGAGACACGGACCAGACUCCUACGGGAGGCAGCAGUAGGGAAUAUUGGACAAUGGGCGCAAGCCUGAUCCAGCCAUGCCGCGUGCAGGAUGAAGGCCCUAUGGGUCGUAAACUGCUUUUGUACGGGAAGAAACCUCACUACGUGUAGUGAGUUGACGGUACCGUGAGAAUAAGGAUCGGCUAACUUCGUGCCAGCAGCCGCAGUAA